rnacentral:rRNA from 1 species
GAUGAACGCUGGCGGCGUGCCUAACACAUGCAAGUCGAACGGAAAGGCCCUGCUUUUGUGGGGUUCCCGUGUGGGGAAAGGGUGCGUAAAACGUGUGUAACCUGCCCUUUUCUUUCGGAUAACUUCAGGUAACUGGGGCUAAUAUCCGAUAUGAGCUCCUGCUCCAUUGUGGGGGUUGGAAAGUUUCGGCGGUUGGGGAUGGACUCGCGGCUUAUCAGCUUGUUGGUGGGGUAGUGGCUUACCCAGGCUUUGACGGGUAGCCGGCCUGAGAGGGUGACCGGCCACAUUGGGACUGAGAUACGGCCCAGACUCCUACGGGAGGCAGCAGUGGGGAAUAUUGCACAAUGGGCGGAAGCCUGAUGCAGCAACGCCGCGUGCGGGAUGACGGCCUUCGGGUUGUAAACCGCUUUCGCCUGUGACGAAGCGUGAGUGACGGUAAUGGGUAAAGAAGCACCGGCUAACUACGUG